rnacentral:rRNA from 1 species
CAGUCGCCGCGGGAAUACGAAGGGUGCAAGCGUUACUCGGAAUUACUGGGCGUAAAGCGUGCGUAGGUGGUGGUUUAAGUCCGUUGUGAAAGCCCUGGGCUCAACCUGGGAAUUGCAGUGGAUACUGGGUCACUAGAGUGUGGUAGAGGAUAGUGGAAUUUCCGGUGUAGCAGUGAAAUGCGUAGAGAUCGGAAGGAACAUCUGUGGCGAAGGCGACUAUCUGGGCCAACACUGACACUGAGGCACGAAAGCGUGGGGAGCAAACAGGAUUAGAUACCCCGGUAGUCCCUGUCUCUUAUAU